rnacentral:lncRNA from 1 species
UUUUGUCUUUUUAGGGCUGCACCCAAGGCCUACGGAAGUUCCCCAGGCUGGUGGGCGAAUGGGAGCUGCAGCUGCUGGCCUCCACCACAGCCACAGCCACGCCAGAUCCAAGCUGCGUCUGCAACCUACAUCACAGCUCCACGGCAAUACCGAAUCCCCUGACCCACUGAGUGAGGCCACGCAUCGAACGCACAUCCUCACGGAUGCUAGUUGGGUUCGUUACCGCUGACCAUGACGGGAACUCCCCAUUACUUGUGAUUUUUAUCCCAGGUCCUUAUCUACCAAGAAGACCUACCUAGAUUAAUCUCUGGUAACCUAGGUAGAUAGAUUAGUUAGAUGGGCUAAACCCCUCCUGCCUCAUUUCUAACUAUACUCUGCUUGGUUCAUGCAGGGACCCCUGAACUCAGGAGCUCGCUGCUGCCUCAGGGCCUUUGCACCUGCCUCCCCUUCCCCCACUGGAGUUUCUUUCAGGUUUCAGUUGACAGCUUGCUUCAGUCUACCGGCCAUGCACCCCAAACUUGCCUGAUCGCAGAAGCCAAGCAGGGUUGGGCCUGGGUAGCACUUGGAUGGGAGAAAGGCCAACUGAAAUGUGUUCACAAGAGGGGACAGGGUGACAGGAGAUUCAAAACGAUGGUUUAAAACAAUAAUCGAAGAAGAGGAGCCAUUUCUUCCAGGGACAGGCAGCUGGGGGUGAGGCCAAGGAUUGAAAGGGGAAUCGUCCUGCUUCUUAGGAGCUGUCCUCUGGGAGAAGAGCAGAUUUGCUUUGCGAGGCUUUGCGCGGCUACCUGGGAAAACCAGGGCGAAGGGCAGGAGACCACAGGGAGACUGGCCUGCUUUUCCAUUCGGGCUCCAGGAAAACACCCCACCCCAUCGGAACUAUCCAGAGCUGGGGGAGCAGCCUCAGGAGUUUUGCUAGUGGAGACUGAGGGGCUACAGGCAAGAGAAUUUGCCAUCUCAAACUGGGGGUGGUUGGUUCUGGAAAUACUCCAAACCACUGAAGCUGCUGGUUUCCGGUGUGUCUAGAAGGCCUGGCUGAGAGCACGAGACCCUGGGGGAUGGGGACAGGGGCGGAGGCGGAGCGAGUUGGCCAGUCUGGGAUCUUGCCUUUCCUGCUCCCUUGCUGCGGCUGGGACUUGAGAAACGUGUGGAGGAGGCUGCAGGGUUUCUGCAGGCAUGAAACCACAAAGGGAAGACUUGAUUCCAGAGCUUUUCAGGAGACUGCAAACCUCCGGUGUGGGGAGUAUAUGGACCCCAGCCUCUCUCAGCACCUGCCCCCAGGUCAAUCCUGGCAAUUAGCAAGAGGAUGUGUAACAAGGAACUGACUCCUCCAAAAAGUGAGUUUCUUCGGAGUAGAGUUCAAGGCUUAUUUAUAUCUGUAUCCCCAGCUGAGUUCAGUGCGUGUGGGCGUGGGGGGGCAGCCACGCGCAUAUGGAAUAUGCGAGGUGUAUGACUAACAGUCAAGAUGCAACUUUCAACCACCAGGCAGUGGAAGCUACUGUCCUCUGCCAGUGGCUGCAAGCUCUGGUGGGCUCCUGUUUUCUGCUUGCAGGAAAUAGCACACGCGCCUGUGUCACUCUGCGUUUUGAUGUAGCUAGAAAUCCCUGACAGCGCCGUCCCAGCAAAUUAUUAAAACUCUCUAUGGCUUCAGGGUCAGAUCUUCUUCCUCCUUGGUCCUGGGGUCAGUUCCAGGAUGAAGCCUGCAGGGGAACACGGGAGCCGUGGCCUCUGCUCGCUUUCUCUGCCUGGCCUUCCUUCUUUCUAUUCCUCUGACCUGGAAGCUGGUGGGUGAUGGGAACUAGAAGUCCUGAGGCCUGAGGGAGUUCCCAUUGCGGCUCAGCGGUUUAAGAACCCAACAUGGUAUCCACGAGGAUGCGGGUUCCAUCCCUGGCCUCCCUCGGUGGGUUAAGGAUUUGGCGUUGCUGGAAGCUGUGAUCUAGGUGGCAGAUGCGACCUGGAUCCGGCGUGGCUGUGGCUCUAAUUCCACCCCUGGCCUGGGAACUUCCAUAUGCAGCAAAAGAAGCCCUAAAAAUAAAGGAAAAAAGAACGUGCUGAGAACUGAGAAUUGUUCUAGUCAUGCCCUGGCUGUGUUCUCUGGGGUCUGACUCUUGCCCCGUGGGUUGUCCAGGAGGCCCUGCCCAGCGCUCCUGCGCCCUCCGCUGACCCGGCCACGGGUCUCUAUUCCAGGGGGACCUCUAGGUACUCACCUGCAGCUUCUUGCGCCAGGUCCUUCCUGCCCUCCGCCGAGGAUUACGUCUGUCUUAAGGUCCAGCCAGCUCCUGCUUUGCAGCAUCAGUGUCUGAGCGAAGGGCGCCUCUUCUUUAAUGGCUUCGAAGUCAGACCUCGCACAACCUGUCCCAGCGGCAGGUAGUGUGGAGCGGGCCCCUCAGUCCCCUGGAAGUGCCUCUCUCUGGAGCUGGGGGUGGAAGGCAACGUCCAGCCGAGGUCAGAAGGACGUGGACUCUCCUGGACUCACAUCGCUCUUGCCAAAGAACUUUCUCCGUCCAUCUUUUCUUACCUUCUUUCUGACCUUGACGUUCCCACUGAGGAAUUUUCUUCAUUCCUCUUGUAAAUUCUGCACAUCUGUGGGGGGGGGGGGCCCUUUCCCACCCAUCCGCUGGGGUCUUGUUCAGCAUCCUGCGGGGUCCAGGAGCAGCAGCCUGGCCGAGGCAGGAAGACUCCCAUAAUGGCAGCGUCUCGUGGGAUCUGCCGUGUGCCAGGUGCUUCGGUGAACAGGGCUGCAAAGGGAAAGGCGGUGAAGCUUGUGCCCUGGAGCUGUGCCUGGUGUGGUGGGAAAGAAAGACUGACAGACAGAGAGCGAGCGAGCUGGUCAGCCAGUGUUUCCUGAGGGGCUCUAAGAUGUCAGGCACAGUGCCAAGUUCUCUGCAAGCUCAGGUGAGAGCAAUAGAUGUGGUCCUGUCAUUAGGGCUGACAUCCCUGGGGACC